GGGGACAGGGUGAGGGGGGGUCAGUGACAGGGCCACUGAUAGGCAGGGGGUUCAUGUUCGCACCAGGUCUCAGGGCCGGACAUUCAUCCGAGACUGAGAGAUUGGGAGGCUGUCCAGGCCCCAGAGUCGAACUGGGGGCUGCGGUGGAGUCAGUGCACUGUGUGGGCCAAGC
rnacentral:SRP_RNA from 1 species